CUCAGAUUGAACGCUGGCGGCAUGCUUUACACAUGCAAGUCGAACGGCAGCGCGGGGCAACCUGGCGGCGAGUGGCGAACGGGUGAGUAAUAUAUCGGAACGUACCCAGAAGUGGGGGAUAACGUAGCGAAAGUUACGCUAAUACCGCAUACGAUCUACGGAUGAAAGUGGGGGACCUUCGGGCCUCAUGCUUUUGGAGCGGCCGAUAUCUGAUUAGCUAGUUGGUGAGGUAAAGGCUCACCAAGGCGACGAUCAGUAGCUGGUCUGAGAGGACGACCAGCCACACUGGGACUGAGACACGGCCCAGACUCCUACAGGAGGCAGCAGUGGGGAAUUUUGGACAAUGGGGGCAACCCUGAUCCAGCAAUGCCGCGUGAGUGAAGAAGGCCUUCGGGUUGUAAAGCUCUUUUGUCAGGGAAGAAACGGUGAGGGCUAAUAUCCCUUGCUAAUGACGGUACCUGAAGAAUAAGCACCGGCUAACUACGUG
rnacentral:rRNA from 1 species